AUACGUAUGUCGCAAGCGUUAUCCGGAAUUAUUGGGCGUAAAGCGAGUCUAGGCGGCUUGUUAAGUCAGAUGUGAAAAUGCGGGGCUCAACUCCGUAUUGCGUUUGAAACUGGCAGGCUAGAGUACUGGAGAGGUGGGCGGAACUACAAGUGUAGAGGUGAAAUUCGUAGAUAUUUGUAGGAAUGCCGAUAGUGAAGACAGCUCACUGGACAGAUACUGACGCUAAAGCUCGAAAGCGUGGGGAGCGAACAGGAUUAGAUACCCCGGUAGUCC
rnacentral:rRNA from 1 species